rnacentral:tRNA from 6 species
UUAGCUCAGUGGUUAGAGCAGGCGACUCAUAAUCGCUUGGUCGCUGGUUCAAGUCCAGCA